rnacentral:lncRNA from 1 species
CUUUUUCUUCAGCUGCCGUUGGGCUUGUCUGAUCUUCCUCUUCUUAAGUUUCUCAUCCUCAACGGAGGUGUCCACAAUCGCUCUCUUCUUGAUCUGAGAUGCAGCCUGAGCCAUGGUGCUGGGGAGCUGCGAUGGAGCGGAUAUCCUUAUAGAGCAGGAUCGCAGGAGGAAGUCCUACCAGGUCUGGAAACAGCUCCUCUCUGUAGUAUAGUAUCCUACCAGGUCUGGGAACAGCUCCUCUCUGCAGUAUAGUAUCCUACCAGGUCUGGAAACAGCUCCUCUCUGUAGUAUAGUAUCCUACCAGGUCUGGGAACAGCUCCUCUCUGUAGUUUAGUAUCCUACCAGGUCUGGGAACAGCUCCUCUGUAGUAUAGUAUCCUACCAGGUCUGGAAACAGCUCCUCUCUGUAGUAUAGUAUCCUACCAGGUCUGGGAACAGCUCCUCUCUGUAGUAUAGUAUCCCAGCAGGUCUGGAAACAGCUCCUCUCUGUAGUAUAGUAUCCCAGCAGGUCUGGAAACAGCUCCUCUCUGUAGUAUAGUAUCCUACCAGGUCUGGAAACAGCUCCUCUCUGUAGUAUAGUAUCCUACCAGGUCUGGGAACAGCUCCUCUCUGUAGUAUAGUAUCCUACCAGGUCUGGGAACAGCUCCUCUCUGUAGUAUAGUAUCCUACCAGGUCUGGGAACAGCUCCUCUGUAGUAUAGUAUCCUAGCACGUCUGGGAACAGCUCCUCUCUGUAGUAUAGUAUCCUACCAGGUCUGGGAACAGCUCCUCUCUGUAGUAUAGUAUCCUACCAGGUCUGGGAACAGCUCCUCUCUGUAGUAUAGUAUCCUACCAGGUCUGGGAACAGCUCCUCUCUGUAGUAUAGUAUCCUACCAGGUCUGGGAACAGCUCCUCUGUAGUAUAGUAUCCUAGCAGGUCUGGGAACAGCUCCUCUCUGUAGUAUAGUAUCCUACCAGGUCUGGGAACAGCUCCUCUGCAGUAUAGUAUCCUAGCAGGUCUGGGAACAGCUCCUCUCUGUAGUAUCAGGGAGCAGGGCUGGGUGGUGGUGGUGUGAUGCUCUCUCUCAGGACAGCAGCAGAGGUAGUAACGCUAGCUAGCUAGCUAGGUAGGUAGCAGGGAAAAUAAAACGGACCAGGCUGCUCCUCUCUGGGUGGUGUGAUCCAGUGUUCUAGUAUCCAGGAGGAAGAUGAAGAUGAGGAAGAUGAGGUCUGGCAGCAGACAGACGACCAGGACGGAUCAGUCUCUAGAGAAACAGAAGCAGCUCUCUCUCUCCUCUCGUCUGCUGAUGUCUUCAUGUGGCUACUGGUCCUACCUGAACCACGACCCAUCGCAUUCCCUUCUCCCAACACAGCAUCCCUCAGACAGGACAGGCAAUGGAAUGAGAGGAAGGGAAGUAGGUAAGGUAGAGAGAGAUCGAGUAGGAAGGAGAGAGAGCGAGAGAGAGAGGCAACUGAGACUGGGAGGCAGUGUUACACCACCAGCUGGAAG